CUACGGGAGGCAGCAGUAAGGAAUAUUGGUCAAUGGACGAAAGUCUGAACCAGCCAAGUAGCGUGCAGGAUGACGGCCCUCCGGGUUGUAAACUGCUUUUAGUUGGGAAUAAAAAAGGGGACGUGUCCUCUAUUGUAUGUACCAUCAGAAAAAGGACCGGCUAAUUCCGUGCCAGCAGCCGCGGUAAUACGGAAGGUCCAGGCGUUAUCCGGAUUUAUUGGGUUUAAAGGGAGCGUAGGCGGAUUAUUAAGUCAGCGGUUAAAUCGUGUAGCUCAACUAUACUUUGCCGUUGAAACUGGUAGUCUUGAGUGCACACAGGGAUGCUGGAACUCGUGGUGUAGCGGUGAAAUGCUUAGAUAUCACGAUGAACUCCGAUCGCGAAGGCAGGUGUCCGGGGUGCAACUGACGCUGAGGCUCGAAAGUGUGGGUAUCAAACAGGAUUAGAAACCCGGGUAGUCC
rnacentral:rRNA from 1 species